CCUACGGGUGGCAGCAGUGGGGAAUAUUGCACACUGGGGGAAACCCUGAUGCAGCGACGCCGCGUGAGCGAAGAAGUAUUUCGGUAUGUAAAGCUCUAUCAGCAGGGAAGAAAAUGACGGUACCUGAGUAAGAAGCUCCGGCUAAAUACGUGCCACCAGCCGCGGUAAUACGGAGGAUGCGAGCGUUAUUCGGAUUUAUUGGGUUUAAUGGGUGCGCUGGCGGAGUUUUAAGUCAGCGGUCAAAUCUUGGGGCUCAACCCCAUCCAGCCGUUGAAACUGGGGAUCUAGAGUGUGCGAGAGGGAUGCGGAAUGCGUGGUGUAGCGGUGAAAUGCAUAGAUAUCACGCAGAACCCCGAUUGCGAAGGCAGCAUACCGGUGCACAACUGACGCGCAGGCACGAAAGCGUGGGUAUCGAACAGGAUUAGAUACCCUAGUAGUC
rnacentral:rRNA from 1 species